AAACAAUUUUGAAUAAAUGUUUUUGCAUUCCACUCUGAACUGUCUUUCCAGAAACAGAUAGACGACAGGAUUCCCCGCACAACAAAUGAAAAAUCCUCUGUACAAAAUGGCCGACAUGGAAUUAAAUGAGCCAGUAGUGCCUGGAUUGAUGAAAUCAAUUAGAAAGCUGAUCACAGUUAACAAAUAUCCAAUAUAAGACAUAGUUGAUGCCGCAAUGAAUAAAAAUGAAAUAUCCCGCGAGUAUUUA
rnacentral:lncRNA from 1 species